rnacentral:tRNA from 1 species
ACCCGGGUGGCGAAAUGGUAGACGCAUGGGACUUAAAAUCCCUUGGCCGCAAGGCCGUGCCGGUUCGAGUCCGGCCCCGGGUA